UACGGGGGGUGCAAGCGUUUUUCGGAAUCAUUGGGCGUAAAGAGCGUGUAGGCGGUUGGACAAGUCAGAUGUGAAAGCCCUGGGCUUAACUCAGGAAGUGCAUUUGAAACUGUUCAGCUGGAGUAAGGGAGAGGAAAGUGGAAUUCCUGGUGUAGAGGUGAAAUUCGUAGAUAUCAGGAGGAACACCGGUGGCGAAGGCGACUUUCUGGCCCUAUACUGACGCUGAGACGCGAGAGCGUGGGUAGCACACAGGAGGAGAUAACCGUGUAGUCC
rnacentral:rRNA from 1 species